rnacentral:tRNA from 1 species
UGGUUCCUUGGUCAAGCGGUUAAGACGCCGCCCUCUCACGGCGGAAACAGGGGUUCGAUUCCCCUAGGGACUGU